UUCAUGUUGUAGUUAAGUAAGUUCAGUAAGUUACAUGUCUUAACUCAGCAUUAGUUUAUAUUUACUUAUAUUUAAGUAAGAAUUCAUUUAGGUAUACGUUCAAUGUUUCCAAUGAUGAGCAGUUAAUCCACUAAACCCAGAGAUAAUUCCUGAGGCAUGUUUAAAGAGUUUUGUAUUUCAUCAAGAAGGUGCUGAUUCACAAAGAUUUUAAAUUUAAGAAAAUCUGAGCAUCAUUCCAAAUAACUGUUAACAUGUUUGUCAACUAAACAUGUUUUGUAAACGUAAUAAACUUUAUAAAAAUAUUUUUUAUUUUGUAUUAAUAAUCAAGUAUAAAGAACAAUGCAUAGUGUGAAAAUGCGGAUUAUAAAAAAGUAUAUUAAAGAAAAGGACUACAUUUCCCAGAAUGCACCUGCACCCACUCAUCUGACUGCCCCCACCCUUCAGGUGCGACUGCUCAACCUAUGGGCUUGACGGAAAAUUCAAAUCGCGAACCGUUACUGCCUGGACUACUCCGUCUCUUGUUUGUUUGUUUGCUCAUUAACAGUAAGAGGUCAUGUACACUGUGGUCAACUUUGUGGACGAUGAAGAGGUUUCUGGGUAAAGAUGAUAGAAAUAUAAUGAAGUAACAGUGAAAGCUAAAACAUCAGACUGAUCCAGACACUGAAGAAAUUGAUGUCACUGCAAUCUGGCCAAAAUGAUACAACUAUAUUGAAGUAGCCUACUGUAAUGAAGCUGCAGAACAACACAUAGACUCUUGAGGACAUCAACACAGAAAAUGAAGGCUCCAGAGAGAUGUCUGUCCAGAUGAGGGUGCAUCAAUGUUACGUUUGCUGACAAGUAUAUGCUUUACAAUGUAAAACCUAACAGUUAACUUAACUCAAACCAUUUAAGGAAAUCGGUUGCCUUAACCCAUUAAGUUUUAAAAAAACAUACAUUUGAGUACUGUGAACUUAAGUCUUGUGCAAUUAUGCACUUAUAUUUAGUUAGUGUGAACUUAAAUAUAAGUGCAUAACUGCAUGUGACUCAAUUUGUUUAAGUUCACAGUACUCAAAUCCGUGUGUUUUAAAACUUAAAUGGUUUAAUGCAACCGGUUUUCUUAAAUGGUUUGAGUUUAGUUAACUUUUAGGUUUUACAGUGAGAAAUUCUUGAAUAAUUCCAAGACAGAGCUCCCCAAUUGAAUCAACACUGCAAAAAAUCAGUUUCUAACUUAGGAUUUUUAUCUUGUUUUUAGUAGAAAAACUAAAAAUUCUUAAAUCAAGAUGUAUUUUCUUGAUGAGCAAAAUUACCUAAGAAAAUGUCUAGUUUUUAGACAAAAAUAUACAAUUUAAGUAAAUUUGUGCCUGAACAAGCAAAAAUAUAUAACAAUGGGGUGAGAAAAUUGUGCUUGAAUUAAGUUUUUAAGAAAAAAGAAAACUUAAGAUUUUUUCUCACACCAUUGGCAGAUAUUUUUGCUUGUUUUAAGCACAAAUUCACUUAAAUUGUGUGUGUUUAUUUAUUUAUUUUGUCUAAAACUAGACUUAUUUUCUUAGGUAAUUUUGUUCAUCAAGAAAAAGCAUUUUAUUUAAAUAAUAUUUCUACUGAAAACGAGACAAAAAUACUAUGUAAGAAAGUAAUUUUUUUGCAGUGUAGGACUGAUUUCUUAAAGCAAGAUCAAUAUAGUUGUUGUUCAUUUUAUUUAGAUAUUUACUACAUUACAGUGGCAGCUGGUGACUUCUUUUUUUGUGAGCACUCGAUGCAAAGUCUGUCACAACAUGUAUAUAGCCAGUCAUUUGUGUGGUUCCCAAUUUCAAAAUAUGUGUUCUGCGUGUAUGUGCAUCACGUGUUUUGACUAAACACGUGAUGCACAUGGUUUACAUGAAGCAACAAACACAUUUAAAAACACAAGCAACACACAUGACACUCCGAACACUUAUUUUGAAUUUGCACCCCUCGGAUGAGCAGUCACGAGCCGCCACUGCUACUUUACAUUGUACUGCUUUGAAUGUAGUUUUCAUUGUCGCUUUUAUUUUGUUUUAUUUUACUCUAAUAUUGCUUUCUCUGUCUGUAUAUUUAUGAGUUUAAAUAGUAUUGUUUAUGUAUGCAACUUUUAAUAUUUGUGUAUAAUAUUAUUUUGUGAUUGUGACAAUUGUGAAUUGUUCAGUUUUUUA